CUGGGGCAUAGCGCCUACUUUGACCAGGGUGCUGCUAGUGCCCUACUUUGACCAGGGUGCUGGGGGCAGUGCCCUACUUGACCAGGGUGCUAGGGCUAGUGCCCUAUUUGACCAGGGUGCUGGGGGC
rnacentral:lncRNA from 1 species